ACCUUGCUGACGAGUGCCAGGUAGGACGAAACAUAGGUCCAGGGU
rfam:Schistosoma haematobium scaffold631_7, whole genome shotgun sequence.